rnacentral:rRNA from 1 species
UUAGGAAUUUUGCGCAAUGGGGGAAACCCUGACGCAGCAACGCCGCGUGAGUGAUGAAGGCCUUCGGGUUGUAAAGCUCUUUUAGUGGGGAAAAAUCAAAUGAUGGUACCCAAAGAAAAAGCACCGGCUAACUACGUGCCAGCAGCCGCGGUAAUACGUAGGGACCAAGCGUUGUUCGGAUUUACUGGGCGUAAAGGGCGCGUAGGCGGCAAUUCAAGUCAUCUGUGAAAUCUCCGGGCUUAACUCGGAACGGUCAGAUGAUACUGCUUUGCUAGAGUGCAGAAGGGGCAAUCGGAAUUCUUGGUGUAGCGGUGAAAUGCGUAGAUAUCAAGAGGAACACCUGAGGUGAAGACGGGUUGCUGGGCUGACACUGACGCUGAGGCGCGAAAGCCAGGGGAGCAAACGGGAUUAGAUACCCAAGUAGUCCCUGAGCGGGCUGGCAAGGCGCAU